rnacentral:rRNA from 1 species
GAUCCUGGCUCAGGACGAACGCUGGCGGCGUGCUUAACACAUGCAAGUCGAACGAGAAUCUAAUGAUGGAGUUUUCGGACAACUGAUUUAGAGGACAGUGGCGGACUGGUGAGUAACGCGUGAGGAACCUGCCUUUCAGAGGGGGACAACAGUUGGAAACGACUGCUAAUACCGCAUGACGCAUUUUGAUCGCAUGGUCGGAAUGCCAAAGAUUUAUCG